rnacentral:sRNA from 1 species
AACAAGAAAAAUAGAAUCUGAAA